CCCAUUGGCUCGGUCGCCUGCUCCGGGCCCCGCCCCCACAGGCGCGCGGCCCAACCGCCCCGAAAGGAUUUCCAUGGGCUAGGAAUCUGGGUGAGGUUAGCUGUGUCCUCUGGCUCAGGCUCUCAUGAGGAUACAAUCAAGCUGUCAGCCAGGGCUGCAGCUCUCUCAAGGCUUCAGAAUCCUCUUUCAAACUCACUUCCACUGCUGCUGGCAGGCCUGAGGUCCUCUCUGGCUGUUGGCUGGAGACAUCAUUUCCUGUCCACUUCCACCUCUUGCUUUUUGAAUCUCUUACUCACCAAACCUAGUCUCUCUGUGAAGACCUGCUCUGCCUUAAUCAAUAUUUUCCCCAUAGACCCAGUGAGAGCAUUCUAUUCCCUUGAAUACUCAAUCUCCUGUGUGGCUGCUGCAAGUCCUGGAAUCUUUUUAGGAUUUCCUCUCUAAAGGCCAUUCAAAAAGUGGUGAGUUAAUUUGCCCACAGUCCACAGUCCACAUUGCAGCCAUCAGCAAAGCCAAACGCCAGCCGUGCCUGGAUCUCCCUGCAUACCACAUUCAUCCUUAUCUUGCACACAUUUCCUUCACUAUGCGAGGACAAGAACACUUUUGAGCUAAUGAACGUGCAUGUUCUCUGUUCAAAGUAAAACACAUAAUAAAUAAA